GCCGAUCUCAAACUGUAUGCUCCUAGGGCACCGAAAUUCAAAACAAACAACAGGAUAGAUCCAGGGAACCCUCCUCCUGGACCUGGAUCUGGAUCAAAGUGUACUCUAAGACAGAAGACUUAAACAGAUAAGUGACAAGCAAUAUUCAAAGACAAAGAACCAGGUUAGAAGAGGAUGGUUGACUUGCCUGUACUCAUCUAGCUCAAAAAUGUCAGAAAAAAGAUUUGAACACAGGUCCUUCUAACUCCAAACACAGCACACUUUCUCAUAUACCACAUGGUCUCUCAGUCCCCAUCCAGGACAAAACCAGAAGUGAGGAGCCAGGCAGAUGAGGUUUGCCUAUAGACACCAGUCUAAAGCUGGAGGACUCUUAGUUC
rnacentral:lncRNA from 1 species